GCCCUGGUAGCACAAUGGUUAGUGCAACUACUUUGACUAUACCCACAGCCACUUGUGAUUUCAGUAGAGCAUCCCUGUUCGAUUCGGGGUCAGGUCU